GGAUCUUUAGCUCAAAUGGUAGAGCACUUGGGAGUAUUAAUCUCAAGGGAUGAUGGUUCAAAUCCACCAAGGUCCA
rnacentral:tRNA from 1 species